rnacentral:rRNA from 1 species
AUAACGACUCUCGGCAACGGAUAUCUCGGCUCUCGCAUCGAUGAAGAACGUAGCGAAAUGCGAUACUUGGUGUGAAUUGCAGAAUCCCGUGAACCAUCGAGUCUUUGAACGCAAGUUGCGCCCUAAGCCUUUAAGCCGAGGGCACGUCUGCCUGGGUGUCACG